CGCGCAGGCGGACUAUUAAGUCAGGGGUGAAAUCCCGGGGCUCAACCCCGGAACUGCCCUUGAUACUGGUAGUCUUGAGUUCGAGAGAGGUGAGUGGAAUUCCGAGUGUAGAGGUGAAAUUCGUAGAUAUUCGGAGGAACACCAGUGGCGAAGGCGGCUCACUGGCUCGAUACUGACGCUGAGGUGCGAAAGCGUGGGGAGCAAACA
rnacentral:rRNA from 1 species